UUGUCAAAGAGGCAGCUGCUGGUCGUCCUUUAGCCGAGGCUUUCAUUUCCGAUUGUGAAAGAACUUGGGGGUAAGGAAAACGUGUCUCACAAAAAAGGAAGAGGUACGGUGAUGACAGUGAAGACACCAGUCCGCCUACAGUUGUUACGGCAACCAGAACAAGUUCCGUCAUCAACAUUAUUCAAAGUAGCAAGAGUGGCGAACCAAAGGGCCACAGCAGCGCAAACAGUAUAGAAUUUCAAUAUUUGUCGGAUGAUGACGUGCCUCCAUCUUCACAAACAACGCUGGCCGAAAAACUUCAGUGGAAGGCAGUUCCUCGCGGCGACGAUAGACGGCCUGGUCUCUCAAUAUUUAUGAAC